rnacentral:rRNA from 1 species
UGAGGAAUAUUGGUCAAUGGGCGUGAGCCUGAACCAGCCAAGUCGCGUGAGGGAAGACUGCCCUACGGGUUGUAAACCUCUUUUGUCGGGGAGCAAAGGUCUCACGUGUGAGACUUUGAGAGUACCCGAAGAAAAAGCAUCGGCUAACUCCGUGCCAGCAGCCGCGGUAAUACGGAGGAUGCGAGCGUUAUCCGGAUUUAUUGGGUUUAAAGGGUGCGCAGGCGGAAAGUGCAAGUCAGCGGUCAAACGACGGGGCUCAACCCCGUUUCGCCGUUGAAACUGUCUUUCUAGAGUGAGCGAGAAGUAUGCGGAAUGCGUGGUGUAGCGGUGAAAUGCAUAGAUAUCACGCAGAACUCCGAUUGCGAAGGCAGCAUACCGGCGCUCAACUGACGCUCAUGCACGAAAGCGUGGGUAUCGAACAGG